rnacentral:rRNA from 1 species
CCCUUAGAUGUUCUGGGCCGCACGCGUGCUACACUGACGGAGGCAGCGAGCAUGUCCUUCGCCGAGAGGUGUGGGGAAUCUUGUGAGUCUCCGUCGUGCUGGGGAUAGAUGGUUGCAAUUGUCGAUCUUGAACGAGGAAUUCCUAGUAAGCGCGAGUCAUCAGCUCGCGCUGAUUACGUCCCUGCCCUUUGUACACACCGCCCGUCGCUACUACCGAUUGAAUCGUUUAGCGAGAAUUUUGGAUCGGAGCCCUGGUGGGCAGCGAUGUCCGCCUGGGAUUUACCGAGAAAUCAUUCCAGCUUGCCGAUUUAGAGGAAGUAAAAGUCGUAACA